UCUAACAAUAUAUUUGCAGGUUUUAGGUCUAAGUGGUGAAUAUCGAUCUCUGAAUAUAUUGAUAACCUUCACAAAUUUGCUGAUUAUUUUGUAGAGCUAUUAUUGUCCCACAUGCAUAUCCAUGACUAAAAAAAGCAAAAAAGUAAUAAUGGGGUGUUGUGUUCUCACAAAGAAAGAUGGAAAAGUUUAACAAAAACUUGUGAAGGAAGAUGAAUGCUUUGAUUAUGCAUGAAUCCAUAAUGAUAAAGUGCUAUUGAAUGAUCAAGUAAUUUGUAAGGUUUUUAUUAUCUUCGCAAGAGUUGUAUUGUUAAUUUAGACCUAGACAUGCAAGUAUAUUUCUAGGA
rnacentral:pre_miRNA from 1 species